CUCAUCCUGUCUUUCUUCAGCAGCAAGAAGUAACUUCCCUGCACACUAAAAGACAAACAGAAGACAUCCACAGAUUCAGGCUUCACCUUGGUUUGAGGCUGUGCACCAUUCUUAUUCCCCUACAUCACUGCGUCGUGACAUCACAAUUAUUUGUUCACUGCAGCUAGAUGGGCAAAUGACUCCCUCCUGUGAUGGAAUCAAGUGGGUGAGAAUGCAGUGAUCUGAUUUAUCGAAUAGAUUUUGACUAGGGUUUUGCUCAUUUGAGUAGAGUGAAAUACAAAGCUUAUGUCUGAACAGUGAAUUACGCACAAUAAACUUGAGUUGUCAGAACCUGAUCGUGUGAGAGGAUGUCAUUGUAGCUCCUAAUUUCUUUUCUUUGUUCACAGAUUCAGCAUUCAAGAUUCAGAUUUGAAGUUCAAGAUCCACAUUUACAGUUUCACACUGCAUGUUUGAUACCAACCUUCUGUUCCAUUUUCCUUUUGAAUUAAAGCUUCCUUUUCU